UAGCAAUAUAGGAGUAUCAAGAGACACGUUUAUUUUAGUAGUGUCUCGAGCGCCAAGUAUGAAUAGCGGUGACGAAGGCACUACCGUGUCUCUAUUCCGCUCAAAUUAGCACUUUUGAGCGCUGGUGAGCGUGUUGAAUGCUCCUUUCUGUCAAACGUACCUAUACAUAAAUCAAGUCAUCGAAACAAGAACACAAAAUUUACUAAAAGAUGAACAAACGAAACAAAAAAUUAAAAUAGAUGUUUCUACAAAGAAAAAAAAAAGAGCUAGUGUGGGAAAAAUCUCAAGCUGCGAAACAAAAUAUAUUACACAUCAAAAAGAAAAAAAGAAGAAGAAGAGAAGUUGGAAAAGAAAAGAAACGGG